GACAACUCGCGGGGAUUGUUUUCCACACCGUGGAAGCUUUGUUCUUUUCGUUUUUUGCAAUAAAUCUUGUUGCUGCUCGCUUUUUGGGUCCACAUUGCUUUUAUGAGCUGUACCACUCACCGUGAAGAUCUGCAGCUUCACUUCAGAGCCUAGCGAGACCACAAGCUCACUGAGAGGAACAAACAACUCCAGACGCGCUGUCUUAAGAGCUAUAACACUCACCGCGAAGGUGUGCAGUUUCACUCCUGAGCUAGUGAGACUACGAAGCCACUGGAACGAAGAAACUCCAACCACGUUUGAACAUCAGAAGGGGCAGACUCCAGACGCUUCAUCUUAAGAGCUGUAACACUCACUGUGAAGGUCUGCAGCUUCACUCCUGAGCCAGCGAGACCACGAACCGAUCUGAACAUCAGAAGGGACAGACUCCAGAUGCCCCACCUUAAGAGCUGUAAUACUCACUGCAAGGGUCUGCAGCUUCAUUCUUGAAGUCAGACCAAGAACCCAGCAAUUCCCAACACACAGGGACCAGCUUCUUUCCUAACUCACUUAGGCUCUUCGUGCUGCUCUGGCAACUAACACCCUUGGCUGCAGGGGCUUGGACACUACCCUUAGUCACUGACAAUUGUGUGAAGGCUGCUGUCGUUAACUUCACUUGAUCACCUUAGGCUCCUGUGAAGUGGUGAGCAAUUCAAACAAAUUCCUGUCGUCAAAUCAUGAGUCCACCUGUCCCGAGUUGGAAGUCUGAACUCAUGUUCCUGGAUUCCUCCCAUGCAUCUUGGUGCUGGUGUGGGGCCUGAACUCAGCCAAUCCGCAACACCUCCAGGAGUCUUCCUCUUAGAUGCUGAGGCCACGGAGAAGGAAGCAGCACAAAGAAUGAACCCUGGAGAGGGUGCCAGAGGCAGGCGGGUUCCAGCCAUGUGGCGGCACAGCCUUACUGGGAUAGUCUAGCUGUGUCACUCAGAAUCCUGAUUUUGUUUGGAAGGACAGCGUGCCUGGUUCCAGGACUUGAAUCAUUCGUUUGUCCAGCAUCUCCAUGCUGUGUACGCUACCCGCCUGUUAGUCAUUGACACUGUCUGCUCCUGACAUCCACCCAUCAAUAUUGUCAUUGCUCAAUGAUCCAGGAUCACCGAGAGCAGAUGAGCCUCCUGAUGCAUGGUCAGAAGGUCAAUAGUAGCUUACUUCUCCGUCACAACGCCUGAGUUAUUCACCUCACCUCACCUCAUCACAUGGCCAUUUGAAUCAUCUUAUAUCAUCACAAGAAGAAAGAUGGAGAAAUUGCACUGCAGAGAAAUCUUUAAAAGCAAUUACCUAAUACUGCAGAUUGCUGAACUGUACCCACACCCAAGACUGAGCAUUGGAUCAAUCCAGAAUAUACAUCAGGUGUUCUGCAAUGUCUGCCUAAAACCAUGACUCUGCCUCCUCCAGCUGUUGCUACAUCUCACUAUGGGUUUCCUGUGACAUUUUGAGCAAGUAUGCCUCUGUGACUGGGGUUCUUACACUCCAGAAUGGAUGAGAAGCACCGUAAGUGGCUUUUAAAAUGAAUAUUCCCUGGCCCUUCAGUCGCUCUAUAGGUCAAGAAUCUGAAUUCUCAACCUGUCUAGAAGGUUCUGGUUUUAAUGGUCUGUGGGCUGCACAUUGAGAAACCUGUUCAGCGAGUGCAACAAAGGUUCCACAUGUGAGAAAGGAAGCAUCAGGUCUCUUGAGCCUGUUCUUUAAUCUGUAGGCUGCACCUUCUCUUUAAAUUCUGCUAAUAACACCAUGCGAGAAAACACCCGAGCUUGAAAAGCCCAUGUUCCAACAUAACUGUCCUUCACCACUCUGGAAAAUUAAUGGUUUGUUUCGAUUAUCCCUUUGUUAAACUCCAAAGUCAAAGAGCUCUGAAAGGCAUACGGUUAUUUUAAGUUUCAGGUGAUUUCUGUUGCCAAAUAUUUUAAAAAUUUAAAAUUGCUACGUGACCUCUUAGUAGUACUAUUAGAUUUCCUGACAAUAAAAAUAAGUCUUUUGGUUUCACCAUUUAUAGUUAGUACAGCUAAUAUUAAGUAUAAUUUUAAAAGCCUUUUAUUUUCUCAGAAAGAAAAAAUAAUCAAAAUCUGCUCAGUGUGGUAUUGAAUAAUUAAAAACAAAAGAACAGUA
ensembl:lncRNA novel transcript